rnacentral:misc_RNA from 1 species
GAAAUGCGAUAAGUAAUGUGAAUUGCAGAAUUCAGUGAAUCAUCGAAUCUUUGAACGCACAUUGCGCCCGCCAGUAUUCUGGCGGGCAUGCCUGUUCGAGCGUCAUUUCAACCAUCAAGCCCCCGGCUUGUGUUGGGGACCUGCAGCUGCCCGCAGGCCCUGAAAAACAGUGGCGGGCUCGCUGUCACACCGAGCGUAGUAGCAUACAUUCUCGCUCAGGGCGUGCUGCGGGUUCCGGCCGUUAAACGACCUUCAUAACCCAAGGUUGACCUCGGAUCAGGUAGGAAGACCCGCUGAACUUAAGC